UUAAAAGCAAUGACGAGGAUAGUAAUUAUGAUUUAACCAAAAAGAGAACUGUUGGUUGGUGCAAAACAGUGGUUUAGAUCUUAAUGAAUAUCACCUUUGAGCUGUCAGUCGAACUUAAUUAAGUAGACUUAACUGGUUCCCUCCAUUAUCAGGGUUGCUGAUUGUUAGCACAGUCAGUGCAAGUGGCAAUUUUUAAUAAUUGCAAUCAAGGUGGUACCGCGUUCGUUGACGUCCUUUUG
rnacentral:ncRNA from 1 species